rnacentral:rRNA from 1 species
AACGGAUGGGGCCAGUGUUAUUCAUCGUGAUUGGGCGUAAAGGGUACGUAGACGGUCUUUAACGGGAUACGUUAAAGCCCACUGAGAGGGUGGUAAACUUAAUUUAGCGGGAAGACUUGAGUAUGGUGGAAGUGAGUCGUAUGCUUGGUGUAGAUGUGACAGUCGAUAAUACCAAGAAGACGUCCGAUGGCGUAGGCAACGAGCUAUUCUAUACUGACGUUAAGGUACGGAGGCAUGGGGAGCGAACAGG